ensembl:snRNA U6 U6 spliceosomal RNA
GCUAUACUUUGAUAAGACACAUAUUACAAUUGGAACAGAGAGAAGAUUAGCAUGCCAAUGCACACAGAUGGCAUGCAAAUUUAUGAAUUGUUCCAUAUUAUU